rnacentral:rRNA from 1 species
AUUGAACGCUGGCGGCAGGCCUAACACAUGCAAGUCGAACGGUAACAGGAAGCAGCUUGCUGCUUCGCUGACGAGUGGCGGACGGGUGAGUAAUGUCUGGGAAACUGCCUGAUGGAGGGGGAUAACUACUGGAAACGGUAGCUAAUACCGCAUAACGUCGCAAGACCAAAGAGGGGGACCUUAGGGCCUCUUGCCACCGGAUGUGCCCAGAUGGGAUUAGCUAGUAGGUGGGGUAACGGCUCACCUAGGCGACGAUCCCUAGCUGGUCUGAGAGGAUGACCAGCCACACUGGAACUGAGACACGGUCCAGACUCCUACGGGAGGCAGCAGUGGGGAAUAUUGCACAAUGGGCGCAAGCCUGAUGCAGCCAUGCCGCGUGUAUGAAGAAGGCCUUCGGGUUGUAAAGUACUUUCAGCGGGGAGGAAGGGAGUAAAGUUAAUACCUUUGCUCAUUGACGUUACCCGCAGAAGAAGCGCCGGCUAACUCCGUG